rnacentral:rRNA from 1 species
UAAGGAAUAUUGGGCAAUGGAGGCAACUCUGACCCAGCCAUGCCGCGUGCAGGAAGACGGCCCUACGGGUUGUAAACUUCUUUUAAUAGGGAGUAAUGUUAGUUACGAGUCACUAAUUGCAAGUAUCUAUAGAAUAAGGAUCGGCUACCUCCGUGCCAGCAGCCGCGGUAAUACGGAGGAUCCAAGCGUUAUCCGGAUUUAUUGGGUUUAAAGGGUGCGCAGGCGGACUAAUAAGUCAGUGGUGAAAUCUACAUGCUUAACAUGUAAUGUGCCAUUGAUACUGUUAGACUAGUAUGCAAAUGAGGU